AUGGUGAAUCAUUAACACCACAAUCAGAAAGUAUAGGAAGAUACCAUAAGCAUUGUUGCUGUUGGUCUUUUCAUUAGAUUUGUUUCUAAUAAUAAAAUAUAUAAUAUCACCAGACUCAUCCUCUCAAAUAUAAAGCAAAGAGUGUUAAAGAAGGAACGGACUUCAGGAGGGUCUUUUGGCAAUGUUCAAAUCCUUAUUUUCUUAUUAUUAAUGUCAGUCUUCCACUGUCAUUAAUGUCAUUAAUAUAGGUUAAUGGAAAUGUAAAACUGAUAGACUGAAAACUAAUUGACAGUUCACAAUGAGAAACUAAUAGCUGGAUGGAGCAUUGCCAAAGGGUUCGGGUCAGGGUGGGUUAGACCCUGCUGAAGCCCUUUGCUUCUGUUACUUUUUGACUGUUGAAGUUCAUUUAAGAACUUUUAAAUUCAACAGAAGUCUUAGGAUGCCUUGUGCAGUAGUAAUGAUAAGUCUUCCAUAUCUUUUUGCUUCCCCACUUAACUUACUAAACUUUCUGAAAGGAAAAGUCAGGUGAUAUUAUACAAACAUUUGUACACAGAACCUGUUCUCAGCUAAUAACUUUAUAAUUAGUUAAAUUCUUAAUGGUAAUUAAUGGAUAAAUGGUGAAUCAUUAACACCACAAUCAGAAAGUAUAGGAAGAUACCAUAAGCAUUGUUGCUGUUGGUCUUUUCAUUAGAUUUGUUUCUAAUAAUAAAAUAUAUAAUAUCACCAGACUCAUCCUCUCAAAUAUAAAGCAAAGAGUGUUAAAGAAGGAACGGACUUCAGGAGGGCCUUUUGGCAAUGUUCAAAUCCUUAUUUUCUUAUUAUCAAUGUCAGGCUUCCUCUGUCAUUAUUAAUAGAGGUUAAUGGAAAUGUAAAACUGACAGCCAGAAGACUAAUGGACAGUUCACAAUGAGAAAUUAAUAGCUGGAUGGAGCAUUGCCAAAGGGUUCGGGUCAGGGUGGGUUAGACCCUGCUGAAGCCCUUUGCUUCUGUUACUUUUUGACUGUUGAAGUUCAUUUAAGAACUUUUAAAUUCAACAGAAGUCUUAGGAUGUCUUGUGCAGUAGUAAUGAUAAGUCUUCCAAAUCUUUUUUCUUCCACACUUAACUUACUGAACUUUCUGAAAGGAAAAGUCAGGUGAUAUUAUACAAACCUUUGUACACAGAACAUGUUCUCAGCUAAUAACUUUAUAAUUAGUUAAAUUCUUAAUGGUAAUUAAUGAUUGAUUAAUGAAUGAUUAAUGAUUCACUUGAAAAAUGGUGAAUCAUUAAUACCACAGUCAGAAAGUAUAGGAAGAUACCAUAAGCAUUGUUGCUGUUGGUCUUUUCAUUAGAUUUGUUUCUAAUAAUAAAAUAUAUAAUAUCACCAGACUCAUCCUCUCAAAUAAAAAGCAAAGAGUGUUAAAGAAGGAAUGGAGUUCAGGAGGGUCUUUUGGCAAUGUUCAAAUCCUUAUUUUCUUAUUAUUAAUGUCAGGCUUCCUCUGUCAUUAUUAAUAGAGGUUAAUGGAAAUGUAAAACUGAUAGACUGAAAACUAAUUGACAGUUCACAAUGAGAAACUAAUAGCUGGAUGGAGCAUUGCCAAAGGGUUCGGGUCAGGGUGGGUUAGACCCUGCUGAAGCCCUUUGCUUCUGUUACUUUUUGACUGUUGAAGUUCAUUUAAGAACUUUUAAAUUCAACAGAAGUCUUAGGAUGCCCUGUGUAGUAGUAAUGAUAAGUCUUCCAUAUGUUUUUACUUCCACACUUAACUUACUAAACUUUCUGAAAGGAAAAGUCAGGUGAUAUUAUACAAACAUUUGUACACAGAACUGGUUCUCAGCUAAUAACUUUAUAAUUAGUUAAAUUCUUAAUAGUAAUUAAUGAAUAAAUGGUGAAUCAUUAACACCACAGUCAGAAAGUAUAGGAAGAUACCAUAAGCAUUGUUGCUGUUGGUCUUUUCAUUAGAUUUGUUUCUAAUAAUUAAAUAUAUAAUAUCACCAGACUCAUCCUCUCAAAUAUAAAGCAAAGAGUGUUAAAGAAGGAACGGACUUCAGGAGGGUCUUUUGGCAAUGUUCAAAUCCUUAUUUUCUUAUUAUUAAUGUCAGGCUUCCUCUGUCAUUAUUAAUAGAGGUUAAUGGAAAUGUAAAACUGAUAGAUUGAAAACUAAUUGACAGUUCACAAUGAGAAACUAAUAGCUGGAUGGAGCAUUGCCAAAGGGUUCGGGUCAGGGUGGGUUAGACCCUGCUGAAGCCCUUUGCUUCUGUUACUUUUUGACUGUUGAAGUUCAUUUAAGAACUUUUAAAUUCAACAGAAGUCUUAGGAUGCCUUGUGCAGUAGUAAUGAUAAGUCUUCCAUAUGUUUUUACUUCCACACUUAACUUACUGAACUUUCUGAAAGGAAAAGUCAGGUGAUAUUAUACAAACCUUUGUACACAGAACAUGUUCUCAGCUAAUACCUUUAUAAUUAGUUAAAUUCUUAUUGGUAAUUAAUGAUUGAUUAAUGAAUGAUUAAUGAUUCACUUGAAAAAUGGUGAAUCAUUAAUACCACAGUCAGAAAGUAUAGGAAGAUACCAUAAGCAUUGUUGCUGUUGGUCUUUUCAUUAGAUUUGUUUCUAAUAAUUAAAUAUAUAAUAUCACCAGACUCAUCCUCUCAAAUAUAAAGCAAAGAGUGUUAAAGAAGGAACGGACUUCAGGAGGGUCUUUUGGCAAUGUUCAAAUCCUUAUUUUCUUAUUAUUAAUGUCAGGCUUCCUCUGUCAUUAUUAAUAGAGGUUAAUGGAAAUGUAAAACUGAUAGAUUGAAAACUAAUUGACAGUUCACAAUGAGAAACUAAUAGCUGGAUGGAGCAUUGCCAAAGGGUUCGGGUCAGGGUGGGUUAGACCCUGCUGAAGCCCUUUGCUUCUGUUACUUUUUGACUGUUGAAGUUCAUUUAAGAACUUUUAAAUUCAACAGAAGUCUUAGGAUGUCUUGUGCAGUAGUAAUGAUAAGUCUUCCAUAUGUUUUUACUUCCACACUUAACUUACUAAACUUUCUGAAAGGAAAAGUCAGGUGAUAUUAUGCAAACAUUUGUACACAGAACUUGUUCUCAGCUGAUUCCUUUAUAAUUAGUUAAAUUCUUAAUGUUAAUUAAUGAUUGAUUAAUGAAUGAUUAAUGAUUCACUUGAAAAAUGGUGAAUCAUUAACACCACAGUCAGAAGGUAUAGGAAGAUACCAUAAGCAUUGUUGCUGUUGGUCUUUUCAUUAGAAUUGUUUCCAAUAAUAGAAUAUAUAAUAUCACCAGACUCAUCCUCUCAAAUAUAAAGCAAAGAGUGUUAAAGAAGGAACGGACUUCAGGAGGGUCUUUUGGCAAUGUUCAAAUCCUUAUUUUCUUAUUAUUAAUGUCAGGCUUCCUCUGUCAUUAUUAAUAGAGGUUAAUGGAAAUGUAAAACUGAUAAACUGAAGACUAAUUGACAGUUCACAAUGAGAAACUAAUAGCUUGAAAACCCAGGCCAUUGGUAUUGAUAGCUUAUUAAGUUAUUGUCUGUUCAGUCAGAACCAAAUUAGGAUGGAGCAUUGCCAAAAGGUUCGGGUCAGGGUGGGUUAGACCCUCCUGAAGACCUUUGCUUCUGUUACUUUUUGACUGUUGAAGUUUAUUUAAAGACAUUUCAAUUCAACAAAAGUCUUAGGAAUCCCUGCAGUAGUAAUGGUAAGUCUUCCAUAUCUUUUUUCUUUCCAUACUUAAUUAAUUAAAUGCUCUUAAAUGAAAUGUCUGGUGAUAUACAAACAUUUGUACACAGAACAUACUGUCAGUUAAUACAUUUAUAAUUAGUUAAAUUCUUAAUAGAAAUUAAUGGGUUAGACCCUCCUGAAGUCCUUUGCUCCCUUGUUUCUGAGCAGUGAUUACUUUUAUAAUAUAAUUUUGACACAGUUGACUGAAAUAGCUGAAACAAGUUGCAUAAACAGUCCAAUGAAAGACAAUGUCAGGAUGUUUACAUGUAAAGGUACGUCAUUCGUCCUUUUUGUCCUUCUACAACAACUGUACAAAACUUCAUUUAGAAUUUCAAAAACCAAAACUGCACAUGAAGGAAAAGUCUUUAAGAAGGCCUUUGGUAAUGUACCAUUCAAAUCAUUUUAAUUAGUGCUAAUUUUACUCUUCUGAUGUCACUAUUAAUAACUUCUAAUUCAUUUGUUACGUGACAGUACAGUAAUUGACAAGCAGGUAAAAAAAUAUCUCCACAUUUUGUAAACCAGUGUUAGACCAUUUGCAGAGUUUCCUCAGAAACUCACUGGAAAGUACCUUUUGACCGACGGAGGUGUCUUUUUGCUGAACCAACAGAGGUGAGUGGUGAGCUUUCUGACCAAUGUGAGAACCACCAUUCUAACUGCAGUUAAAAAUGAAUCUUAUAAAUAUGGCUUGGGAUGAUAUGCUUAUCUCCAGAGUCAGUGCUGUCAUCUUAUUUGCAUGUCAGUUCAUUUCAGAAUUGAUUUUAGAUUGAUUUUUCAGUUUGAGGGCCAAAUUACAAUGGAGCAUUGCCAAAGGGUUCGGGUUAGGGUGGGUUAGACCCCCCUCCUGUAGGCCUUUGCUUCUGUUCAUCCUGUUUCUGUUACUGAGUAAUGACGGCACAUCUUAAAAACAUUAAAAUAAGUAAUGAUAGAUCUGCUGUGUCUUUCGUGUCCAACAUGUAUAUUUGGAUGCAGCAUUUCAAAGGUUGGGUGAGUUAGCAUUACAAGAAUUCAUUAGAAAAACUUUAAUUAAUAAAAAACUUAAUUAAUAAAUAAAGUUAAACAUCUUAAGAAAGAAAAAUCAAAAACUUAGAAUUGACUUCGUCUACUAACAAUUUUCCAUUGCAGCUGUUUUUUUCUUCUGGUUGUGCUCUUCUGUAAGAUUUUAUUAUACAUACAUAUAUAUACUGUGGAUAUACGUGUAUAUAUACACACACAUUACGCACUGCCAUGUUUUGCACAUUUCUUUUGCACUGUUGACAGUACUGUUAUCAUUUCACACCGAUGUCACACUAUGAAUAUAUGUAUUGUACAUAUUAUUGUUCACAUCUUCAUUUUUAUUUUAUUCUGUUUUUAUUUUUGUAUCCAAGUGAUGAUGUUGCUGAUGUUGCUGAUGUUGCUGUAAUGCAACAAUUUCCCUUAUGGGAUCAAUAAAGUACCUCUAUUUAUA